CCUACGGGGGGCAGCAGUGGGGAAUAUUGCGCAAUGGGCGAAAGCCUGACGCAGCGACGCCGCGUGAGGGAUGAAGGUCUUCGGAUCGUAAAACUUUGUCAGCAGGGAAGAACGGUCACUGUGCUAAUCAGCAGUGAAUUGACGGUACCUGAAAAGGAAGCACCGGCUAACUCCGUGCCCGCAGCCGCGGUAAUACGGAGGGUGCGAGCGUUAAUCGGAAUUACUGGGAGUAAAGCGCUCGUAGGCGGUAUGUCAAGUCAAGGGUGAAAGCGCCGGGCUCAACGUUGGAACUGCAUUUGAAACUGGCAAACUUGAGUGUGUGUGAGGAUAGUGGAAUUCGAGGUGUAGGAGUGAAAUGCGUAGAUAUCUGGAAGAACAUCAGUGGCGAAGGCGACUUUCUGGCACGUAACUGACGCUGAGGAGCGAAAGCGUGGGUAGCAAACAGGAUUAGAUACCCUUGUAGUC
rnacentral:rRNA from 1 species